ACGCAGCGAACUGCGAUAAGUAAUGCGAAUUGCAGAAUUCAGCGAGCCAUCGAAUCUUUGAACGCACAUUGCGCCCGCCAGCAUUCUGGCGGGCAUGCCUGUCCGAGCGUCAUUUCCUCCCUCACGCAGCGCGCCUGCGUGGUGUUGGGGCGUUCUGCGGCCAGGCCUGCGCCCA
rnacentral:rRNA from 3 species